AAUAAACACAGCCAUAAGUUUUCACACCUAACUUUAACCAUCCGUCUUAUUUGAAUUCGUUUUAUAAUUAACAUUUUUGUUAUUAUGAAAUGAUAAAAUAUAAAUAGUACUUUACUCGUGACUUAUGUUUUAAAUUUUUUUUAAAAAAAAUUUAAAUAAGACGAACGAUCAAAGUUGAACGCGAAAAAUUAUGGCUGUAUUUAUC
rfam:Oryza meridionalis cultivar OR44 (W2112) chromosome 3, whole genome shotgun sequence.